UCUUGGGCAGAAAUAGUUCAAGAGGUCGUAUAUCAAAUACAUCAAAGUAGGUCCCUCGGAUUUUUAUGGACAGCACCUCUAACAAGGUCAACUUUUGGAGCAUUUCUGCAAGUUUGUUCUCGAAAAGUUGUGGAUCUUCACUCCCGGCAAAUUCAAUCAGCAAGGACCUUAAGUUGGGGCACCUUUCUCUAAUUGCACUAAGAAUAUGGUAAGACACUCUGGAACAUUUGAGCAAACUCAAUUCUUCGAUAUGUUCACCAAGAAUAUUGAAAAUG
rnacentral:misc_RNA from 1 species